rnacentral:rRNA from 1 species
AACGAACGCUGGCGGCAUGCCUAACACAUGCAAGUCGAACGAGACCUUCGGGUCUAGUGGCGCACGGGUGCGUAACGCGUGGGAACCUGCCCUUAGGUUCGGAAUAACUCCCCGAAAGGGGUGCUAAUACCGGAUAAUGUCUUCGGACCAAAGAUUUAUCGCCUUUGGAUGGGCCCGCGUUGGAUUAGCUAGUUGGUAGGGUAAAAGCCUACCAAGGCGACGAUCCAUAGCUGGUCUGAGAGGAUGAUCAGCCACACUGGGACUGAGACACGGCCCAGACUCCUACGGGAGGCAGCAGGGGGGAAGAUUGGACAAUGGGCGAAAGCCUGAUCCAGCAAGGCCGCGUGAGUGAUGAAGGCCUUAGGGUUGUAAAGCUCUUUUACCCGGGAUGAUAAGGACAGGACCGGGAGAAGAAGCUCCGGCUAACUCCGU